UUCCAGUGUUUGGCACCAGGUGGCAAAAUAGUAGACCAGCAUUCCCAAUAGGACAAGGUUUAAGGGAUUUGGUACAUAAUGCAGAGGUCGCGGAGCCCUAGGGGCCACAGGGGCAAUAACCCCAUCAGAAAUCGACCAAGGAGCAGCAAGUUUUUCGACGAUACAGAUGCUGUGGGAUUUGAAACAAAUUCUUCUAUCUUACAUCAAAGUUUGCACCUCGUUUCAAGAAUCGUGUUCCAGCGUACUUAUUGCUUCUUCUAGCAAUGAUUGUUAUGUACAUCGAUCUACCAAAUACGCUGACAUUCGAUUGACCGAUAAAUCCAUGUGUCACAUACAAAAUCCAGUCGCUGUGCAAUUCUUUUUCGAUGGGAGAAAGCAAAUGUGAAUUCCAAACGAAACGUCGAUGGGGAUUGCUUCGAACUCCAUAAUCAAUACAUCUUUCUCCAUACCUGUAAAAUGCUUGGAUAAUCAAAGAUCUUUUCCCUAGCCUCCCUAACUUUUUUAUCUUUUUAUAUAUUUGUAUUUAUUCAUGUGUGAAAAAAAAAUCAAAAUUUUACAACCCAAAAUGCAAUAUUUUACGUUGAGCUAUAACAGCUUUUAAUUUCUUUCACAGACAAAUAAAUAAAAAUACAUGGAUAAAAAUGUGUAAAAAGAUCAAAAAAGUUUUGAGUACAAUGUGAAAUUGUU